CGGGGCGUAGCGCAGCUUGGUAGCGCGCUUCAAUGGGGUUGAAGAAGUCGGAGGUUCAAAUCCUCUCGCCCCGACCA
rnacentral:tRNA from 1 species